rnacentral:tRNA from 1 species
GCCCGUUUGGCUCAGUCCACAGGGUGUCAGCCCGAACACUGAAGGGUCACAGGUUCGAUUCCUGUCAAGGGCA